UGGAUAUUGGGUUCAUGCUUUAACCGGGGAGAGAAAAGCUUACAAAAAGGUAAUCACGUGGUUGACAAUUUGGUGAAUAAAGCUGUUACUGAGCAAUGUGAAUUAACCUGCAUUGAAAAGAAGUUAAGUAAUCAAGGAAUUCUAUUAGCGGUGAGAUGGUGCUAAAAUUUGACACAUUUAUGCACGACUUUUAUAACUACCACACACAAGUACAAACAUCGAUUUGAUUUCACUCUGCUCCUCGAGUUCUCUCAGGUAGACCAAUGACGUUGUUUAAUGUCAUUCGGCAGACGAACGCAGACAAACAAUAUUUUGGAACGUGCCUUGCAACCGCACGAUACAAGCCGUUCAUCUGACCGAGAUCAUAUUCUGCAGACUUCAGCCUAUUUCGAUUUGGAAUUUGUUUUUUCACCUUUUUCAUCGGUUAAGUGUUGAAGAUCGUGC